rnacentral:rRNA from 1 species
UUGGUGCCUUCGGGAACUCUGAGACAGGUGCUGCAUGGCUGUCGUCAGCUCGUGUUGUGAAAUGUUGGGUUAAGUCCCGCAACGAGCGCAACCCUUAUCCUUUGUUGCCAGCGGUCCGGCCGGGAACUCAAAGGAGACUGCCAGUGAUAAACUGGAGGAAGGUGGGGAUGACGUCAAGUCAUCAUGGCCCUUACGAGUAGGGCUACACACGUGCUACAAUGGCGCAUACAAAGAGAA